AACGUACGCUGGCGGCACGCCUAACACAUGCAAGUCGAACGAAGUAGCAAUACUUAGUGGCAGACGGGUGAGUAACAUGUAGGUAUCUGCCCUUUGGCCUGGAAUAACACGAGGAAACUUGUGCUAAUACCGGAUAAGUCUUUACGGAGAAAGCUUUAUGCACCAUUGGAUGAGCCUGCACUUGAUUAGUUUGUUGGUGGGGUAAUGGCCUACCAAGACUGUGAUCAAUAGCUGAUUUGAGAGGAUGAUCAGCCACAUUGGGACUGAGACACGGCCCAAACUCCUACGGGAGGCAGCAGUGGGGAAUCUUGCACAAUGGAGGAAACUCUGAUGCAGCGAUGCCGCGUGAGUGAAGAAGGCCCUUGGGUUGUAAAGCUCUUUCGUCGGGGAAGAAAUGACU
rnacentral:rRNA from 1 species